CUGUCCCGCCCCGGAUCCGGCGUGGAUCCACCGUCGCCGUCUGCGGCUGCUCUGGAUCUUGGGAGUCCUGCCGCUACCCGAUGCAGGUGGAGUGUUGCGCCGCCGGAUGCCCGUGCCUCCUACUCCGACGACCCGCUGCUUCACGGAGCCCGGACGUGCGAACCACCCCGUCUCCAUGGAUCCACCGGAUCAGGGAUCCUCUGCUUCCCCCCAGCCUGUAAGCCCAUUCCUCCCCCCCGAUCCUCUGGCAGCCAAUCUGCCAUGGCCGCCCCUUCCCAAACCACGGCGUCGCCCCUUCCCAGGUCGUCGCCACGCCACCCAUCCGCAUGCCGCUGCCGCGCACCUGCCCCUGAGCACCAUGGGCGUCAACCACCUCUGUCCCUCCGCCGCCUCGUGACCUUCUUCUACUCCAUGGUGGCCGGAUCCACAACCCCCCGGCCCUGGUGACCUCCUGCUGUGCCGCCGCGACCGGAUCCAGUCGUCCUCCUGUCGGUGCACCCCAUCCAGACCCCGGCACCUCCCAUCCCUCCAGCACCUUCGACCUGCACCUUGGACCGCAGCACCACCCCUCUCCCCCGUUGAGGUCACCGUGGCCCUUUCCUCCCCGCUGUUCAUUCCGUUGAGGCGUCGCGUGAUGCAGUACGCAUCGUUGUGGCGAUGCGGUGCGGUUUCGGCAGCUGGAAGUUUUUUUGUUCGCUUUGAAAACGGAGAAGGUGUCUGGUGAGGCCUGCGCGGACGAGAUGCUCCCGACCUCGCCUCCUCCGACCAUUCCCAUCCUCCCUGAAUUUGGCUGUGCACGCAGGCUGUAGCGCAUAGCAGGAUCGAGGAUUCCCUUCCUCCACCUGGGACAGGCGCACCGCACCUUCGUAUUCUUCGGCAGGCCCCGUUUGUGGGUAACAGCUCGCUUCUCGCGCUGCUGCAGCUUGCGGUUCUGUAGGCGUGCAGUGCAGAAGGUUUGACACCCCGUGGUUGUGCAGGUUUGGUGCCCAUGGACAUGCAGUUAUUUUUGGGGGGUAUGCAGGUUUCAAAAUUGCAGUGUGGUUUGACACCCCGUGGUUGUUUUGUUGAACAUGGCACUGAAGUUCGUUAUGUUCAUUUUGUUGAAAAUGGCACUUUUUUGCCAUAUGCAGUUAAAAAAUAUUAAAUGCAGUACACUUGCUUCAUCUCA